UCCUACGGGAGGCAGCAGUAGGGAAUCUUCCGCAAUGGACGAAAGUCUGACGGAGCAACGCCGCGUGAGUGAAGAAGGUUUUCGGAUCGUAAAACUCUGUUGUCAGAGAAGAACAAGUCGGAGAGUAACUGCUCCGGCCUUGACGGUAUCUGACCAGAAAGCCACGGCUAACUACGUGCCAGCAGCCGCGGUAAUA
rnacentral:rRNA from 1 species